UUAGGUAUGAUAGUAAGAGUUAGAAUGAGGGAGUGCCACAUUUUCUUUCAUUUUCCUUUUCAUUUUCGGAUAGAGAGAGGCAGAGAAAGACAAGAAGAAGAAAAAAAAAGGGAAAAGAGAAAGGGGAAGAACAAAGGGGAGCUAGGAUUUGAAGGAGACAUUGAAGAGGUCCUGGAGUUUAGUAGCUCGUGUGUGAUCUAGCCGGAGAUUCUCCCGUGUUUGUUAGAGAUUAGGUUGUGAGUCGAUGCUCUGGUCAUGUAACACUGGGUAGAUUAGUCAUGCUGAACUCAUGUUUCGAUUUGGUUAUGUAUUAUGUUUAUGACUUGAGAACUUGUUAUUUGGCUACUUGUUGUUUAAGAGGCUUUCAAGCCAAA